rnacentral:lncRNA from 1 species
GCCUUGCUGGGGACAGGGCUGGUAUCAACUUCUCCUGUCAUUUCAACAGCAGGAUCCAGCUGCAUUUGGAGCUAACUGCAUCUCAUUUGUUUACAAGGUUCUGCAUCUCAUCUGGCAGAGACUGUCCUGGAGACGUGAACACCCCGCUGUGAAUGUCCUGCCUGUUGGAGGAUGCUGUGCCACAUAGCCCUCUCUCCUUCCACUGAGACUGCUCUUGCUAAUGGAACCCCCAGGGUGAGAGCCUGGCGCCCGGGGUGUUUCCAUUCUUGCUCUUCCAGCAGAAGAAGAACACAAGCUGCCUUUUUCCUGGACCAUCUGGGGGGCAGACAACGGAAACCCACUUCCUAAACUGACGGUGAAGCUCCUAAAAAACUGAGCAAGAGACCCAGGUGGAGGCCGGAACAAAGCCCCAGGGUCAUCAGAAGAGCAUUUUGUCAUCCAACAACGACAAGAAGCCUUGUAAUGCUGUGUGAGUCACAAAACAUUUUCACGUAUAUUCUGCCACUUUAUUCUUCUAAUUCUUCUGUGAGAAAGGUACUCUGUUUACCUAAUUCUACAGAUGAGGACCCUGGGGACUAGAGUUACCCCAAAUCAAUUAGUAACUGGCAGGGCUGCAAUGAUUAGGAAGUGCUGGCAGCUGGUCAGCUUCUCUAUCAAGAAAUCAGUGAUGAUGAUGAUGAUGUAACCCAGAAUUCAGACACUGGACAUCCCUAAAGCCUCCGUCUUGCUCCUUUAACGUUUCAGUAGAUGUAGGCUUCCUGCCCUGUCACAUAUGGCAGAGAACCCCAUGCUCUUUCCACUCUAUCCUGGGUAGGCUGUAUCCUCAGGCCCUGAAUUACUUCUCAAUCCUUGGUUCUCCCCUUGUGUUUUGUUUCCUGCUUUGGGUCUCCCUUUUUUUGCGGAUAUUCUCCCCAAUAAUAGACAAGCUGAGGUGUACAGAUAGUAAGUUG